GCUCCGGUAGCCUAGUGGUUAGAGCUUUCGCCUUAGAUGUGGAGGGUCGUGAUUUCGAACACCGACCGAAACA